GACGAACGCUGGAGGCGUGCUUAACACAUGCAAGUCGAACGAUGAAAUGGAGCUUGCUCCAUGGAUUAGUGGCGAACGGGUGAGUAACACGUGAAUAACCUGCCCUUAAUUUUGGAAUAACCCAGGGAAACCUGGGCUAAUACCGGAUAAGUAAACCUGUGGCAUCACAUGGUUUUGGAAAGUUUUUCGAUUAAGGAUGGAUUCGCGGCCUAUCAGCUUGUUGGUGAGGUAAUGGCUCACCAAGGCGACGACGGGUAGCCGGCCUGAGAGGGUGAACGGCCACACUGGGACUGAGACACGGCCCAGACUCCUACGGGAGGCAGCAGUGGGGAAUAUUGCGCAAUGGACGAAAGUCUGACGCAGCGACGCCUCGUGAGGGACGAAGGUCUUCGGACUGUAAACCUCUUUCAGCAGGGACGAAGCGAAGGUGACGGUACCUGCAGAAGAAGCACCGGCUAACUAUGUGCCAGCAGCCGCCGUAA
rnacentral:rRNA from 1 species